UACGUAGGGGGCAAGCGUUGUCCGGAAUCAUUGGGCGUAAAGCGCGUGUAGGCGGCUUCGUAAGUCCGUUGUGAAAGUCCAGGGCUCAACCCUGGAAUGCCGAUGGAUACUGCGGAGCUAGAGUCCGGAAGAGGAGUGUGGAAUUCCUGGUGUAGCGGUGAAAUGCGCAGAUAUCAGGAGGAACACCAAUGGCGAAGGCAGCACUCUGGGACGUGACUGACGCUGAGACGCGAAAGCGUGGGGAGCAAACAGG
rnacentral:rRNA from 1 species